rnacentral:rRNA from 1 species
CCUUGGGGGGAAUUCCAGAAUUCAGGGAUUCAUGGAUUCUUGGAACGCCCCCUUGCGUUCCUUGGUAUUCGGAGGAGCAUGCCUGUUUGAGUUUCAUGGACCUUUCACCUUUAGUUGCUUGUGUAUUCAGAGUUGGAAUGUGGAGGUUGUUUUCUGGGCCCCCCUUUGGUGUUCAGCUUCUUCUUAAAUUUAUUAGCUUGAGUUCUUUGAGUGGAUUGGCUUUGGGUGUGAUAAUUGUUUUGCCCCAUGCUGUGAAGUUGGGCUUUGGCCUUUGAAUGUGUCCUCCCCCCUCUGGGGUGUGAGACAAUUUACCCUUGGACCUCAAAUCCUGUAAGAAUAUGCCCUAUGAACUUUAACAUUUUAAUUAGCGGAAGAAA